UGAGGCAGGAGAAUCGCUUGAAGGAGAGAGGCAGAAGUUGCAGUGAGCUGAUAUUGCACCACUGCACUCCAGCCUGGGCGACAGAGCCUCUGUCUCAAACAAAAAAAAA
rnacentral:miRNA from 1 species